rnacentral:rRNA from 1 species
UACGAAGGGGGCUAGCGUUGUUCGGAAUUACUGGGCGUAAAGCGCACGUAGGCGGACAUUUAAGUCAGGGGUGAAAUCCCGGAGCUCAACUCCGGAACUGCCUUUGAUACUGGGUGUCUUGAGUGUGGAAGAGGUGAGUGGAAUUCCGAGUGUAGAGGUGAAAUUCGUAGAUAUUCGGAGGAACACCAGUGGCGAAGGCGGCUCACUGGUCCAUUACUGACGCUGAGGCACGAAAGCGUGGGGAGCAAACAGG